rnacentral:rRNA from 1 species
CUGAGUACGGCGGAACACGUGAAAUUCCGUCGGAAUCCGGGAGGACCAUCUCCCAAGGCUAAAUACUCCCUAGUGACCGAUAGUGAACCAGUACCGUGAGGGAAAGGUGAAAAGCACCCCGGAAGGGGAGUGAAACAGUUCCUGAAACCGUGUGCCUACAAGUAGUUAGAGCCCGUUAAUGGGUGAUAGCGUGCCUUUUGUAGAAUGAACCGGCGAGUUACGAUUUGUUGCAAGGUUAAGCGGAAAAAGCGGAGCCGUAGCGAAAGCGAGUCUGAAUAGGGCGCAUAAGUAACAGGUCGUAGACCCGAAACCAGGUGAUCUACCCAUGUCCAGGAUGAAGGUAAGGUAAUACUUACUGGAGGUCCGAACCCACGCACGUUGAAAAGUGCGGGGAUGAGGUGUGGGUAGCGGAGAAAUUCCAAUCGAACUUGGAGAUAGCUGGUUCUCUCCGAAAUAGCUUUAGGGCUAGCCUCGAGGUAAAGAGUCAUGGAGGUAGAGCACUGUUUGGACUAGGGGCCCUUCUCGGGUUACCGAAUUCAGAUAAACUCCGAAUGCCAUGUACUUAUACUCGGGAGUCAGACUGCGAGUGAUAAGAUCCGUAGUCGAAAGGGAAACAGCCCAGACCACCAGUUAAGGUCCCCAAAUAUAUGUUAAGUGGAAAAGGAUGUGGGGUUGCUUAGACAACCAGGAUGUUGGCUUAGAAGCAGCCACCAUUGAAAGAGUGCGUAAUAGCUCACUGGUCGAGUGACCCCGCGCCGAAAAUGUACCGGGGCUAAACAUAUUACCGAAACUGUGGAUGAACCUCUUUAGAGGUUCGUGGUAGGAGAGCGUUCUAAGGGCGGUGAAGUCAGACCGGAAGGACUGGUGGAGCGCUUAGAAGUGAGAAUGCCGGUAUGAGUAGCGAAAGAAGGGUGAGAAUCCCUUCCACCGAAUAUCUAAGGUUUCCUG